GACAGAGGUUGCAAACGUUGUUCGGAAUCACUGGGCAUAAAGCGCACGUAGGCGGUCUGUUAAGUCAGGUGUGAAAGCCCCCGGCUCAACCGGGGAAUAGCAUUUGAUACUGGCAGACUCGAGGAUGGUAGGGGUGAGUGGAACUCCAGGUGGAGCGGUGAAAUGCGUAGAUAUCUGGAGGAACACCGGUGGCGAAAGCGGCUCACUGGACCAUAACUGACGCUGAGGUGCGAAAGCUAGGGUAGCAAACGGG
rnacentral:rRNA from 1 species